AGGAGCAACAGCCCUAGUGGCGGGGCCAGCUCUGGAAACCUGGAUUCAGCCCCUGCAGGAACUCCGGAGCUCUCCGUCUGCAGGGCCUGGAGGCUCCGGGGCGGC
rnacentral:pre_miRNA from 1 species